GACGAACGCUGGCGGCGUGCUUAACGCAUGCAAGUCGAACGGAAAGGCCCUGCUUUUGUGGGGUGCUCGAGUGGCGAACGGGUGAGUAACACGUGAGUAACCUGCCCUUGACUUUGGGAUAACUUCAGGAAACUGGGGCUAAUACCGGAUAGGAGCUCCUGCUGCAUGGUGGGGGUUGGAAAGUUUCGGCGGUUGGGGCUGGACUCGCGGCUUAUCAGCUUGUUGGUGGGGUAGUGGCUUACCAAGGCUUUGACGGGUAGCCGGCCUGAGAGGGUGACCGGCCACAUUGGGACUGAGAUACGGCCCAGACUCCUACGGGAGGCAGCAGUGGGGAAUAUUGCACAAUGGGCGGAAGCCUGAUGCAGCAACGCCGCGUGCGGGAUGACGGCCUUCGGGUUGUAAACCGCUUUCGCCUGUGACGAAGCGUGAGUGACGGUAAUGGGUAAAGAAGCACCGGCUAACUACGUG
rnacentral:rRNA from 1 species